UUGUCCGGAAUUCUUGGGCGUAAAUAGCUCGUAGGCGGCUUGUCGCGUCGGAUGUGAAAGCCCGGGGCUUAACCCCGGGUCUGCAUUCGAUACGGGCAGGCUAGAGUUCGGUAGGGGAGAUCGGAAUUCCUGGUGUAGCGGUGAAAUGCGCAGAUAUCAGGAGGAACACCGGUGGCGAAGGCGGAUCUCUGGGCCGAUACUGACGCUGAGGAGCGAAAGCGUGGGGAGCGAGCAGG
rnacentral:rRNA from 1 species